AUGAAUGUGGGGCAGGCGGCGCACCUGUCCGGGCAGAUGUCCGGGCAGGGGGCGCAGAUGAAUCAGGUUGUUGGCGGUGGCAGCGGUGUCGUCGGCGCUGACGGCAUGCCCCUGCCCCAGCACCAGCAGAUGCAGGAUGGCGUGGGCCUUGUUGCCCCGGGGGUCGAUCAACAGUUUGCGCUCAUGCGCUCCAAUAUGCGCGACAAGAUAUAUGAGUAUAUAGGAAGGAAGCAGACAUCUGCUGACUGGAGGCGGAGGCUGCCGGAACUCGCAAAGCGGCUAGAGGAAAUCUUGUUUAGAAAAUUCCCAAGCAGGAAUGAGUACUACAAUAUGAUGAGGCAACCAGUGGAGCCACAAUUGCAGUUUGCUAUCAAGGCCUUGAGUGCUCAGAACCAACUAAAUCAACAAAACCAACAAAUGUCAAGGCAGAUGGCAUCUUCCUCUGGUUAUAGCACAAUGAUUCCAACACCUGGUAUCACACAAGGUGCAAGUGGAAAUUCUAGAAUGUCUUAUGGAACAGACAAUAUGGGUCUUUCGUCAUCUGGUGCAGGCAUGGUUCCUCAGAAUGCCAACAUGGGUACCUCGAUGCCUGGUACAAUGUCUAAUGGCUACCAGCAUCUAACUACCAGUGCCCCACUAAAUUCGACCACAAGUAGUGUCCCAUCUACGAUGGGUCCAGUGGGUAUUCAGCGACAAGUAACUCAUAUGAUCCCAACUCCUGGAUUCAGUAAUCAACAAAAUGUACCUACUAAUUCUGACUAUUCAAAUGGAACUGGAUAUUUCAAUGGUGAGUCAGCUAUGACACCACAUAUGCAGCAGCAGAAGCAAUUUCAAAGCAACCAGAGCAGCCAUCAAAUACAUCAUAUUGGGGGGCACAGUAAUUCUGGAAUACAUUCAAGCAUGCUGGAGAAUUCUUCUGCAUUUGGUUUAUCAGAUGGACAUGUGAAUGGUGGAAUGGGAUUGCAUGGGUCAAACACGCAAAUUACAAAUAGAAAUGCAGCACCAGAAGGAUAUAUGAACAUAUCCUCUUUUGGAAGUUCGCCCAGACCUUUGCAGCAACAGUUCAAUCAGCAUCCAACACAGAGAAUAUCAACAUCAGUUGACAUGGGUGGCUCAGGAAGUUUCUACGGUACUGGUUCUUCUGCUUUAGCAACAGCAAAUAAUCAGAACAUGGGUGCUGCAAACUUGCAGUCUAGAUCAAGAAUGAAUUCCAUGCUGCUUAGCAAUCAGCUAAACAUGCAAUCCAUUCAAGGGCAGCCACAGAUAAAAACUGAGGUUUUGGAUCAGUCAGAAAAACUCAAUUUCCAGCCAUCUCAGUUGUCUCAUGAACAACUACUCCGACAGCAGCUUUCAAUGCAGCAACAUCAGGUGCAGCCAAGUUCCCAGUUUGUGCAAAACCAAUAUCAUCUCAAUCAACAGAUACCAAAUUCACAGCAUCAGCAGGCUAUGCUGAGGAGCAAUUCCUUUAAACAGUCUCAACUGAAUUCCAGCCAUUCUAUGCAAGUGUCAGAACAGGGAACUUUGCCACACACCGAACUAACAUCUUCACAAGCUACUGAACCUCCUGCACUUCCAAAUUUCCAGGGUCAAUACCAGCAAAGAAGUGCUCACGAUAACGUCAAAGGUGCGCAGGUGUUUGGACAUCUUUCUGGAUCUCAAAAUUUCAGUGCUUCUGGUUCUCACGAUUCUCAGCCAUUGUUGCACCCUAAUCAGCAGCUUGAUGUUAGCUCGAAUGAUGUCAGUUAUGUUUUGAAAGGAACACAGACAGAGCAAAUGCAGCAGCACCAAUGGCGGCCUCAAACAAUGGAAAAGGUUCCUAUCAGUAGCAAUUUAUCUCUUGAAAAGCAAAUACAGGAUGACUUUUGUCAGAGAACAAUGGCCCAGGACGGAGCACAACAGCCAUUUUCAUCUGACUGGCGUGUUUCUGGUUGCACUGUGACCUCAGUUGACCCUGCACUGCCAAAGCUCCCUGCUGGAGGAUUGGAACAGCCCACUGGAAAUAUCAAUUACCUCCGUCAGAUGAGGUGGUUACUGUUGCUGUUUCAUGCAAAAGGAUGUUCUUCUCCUCUUGGUAGUUGUAAAUUACCUCGUUGUGUUCAGCUGCAGGAUUUUGUGAAGCAUUUGGACAACUGCCAAAGAAAAGAUUGUCCACAGAAGAAGUGCAGUAAGUCAAGAAUGUUAAUUGAGCAUUAUAAGACUUGUGUUGAUGAGCAGUGUCCUGUAUGUAGUAAUGUAAAGAAAUUUUUGCGCCUCUCAGCUGAACAUGCAAGUAAGCAAAAAGUCCCUGAGCCUAGAAAAGUUGCUCAACAGAAUAUGACUCAAAGAAUCAUGAAUGGGGUAGACAGUGAUAUAAUGGACAUUGACCCAGUGUCUGUUGAAUCCUUUGAUGGUCAGCCAUCUGUUCCAAAACGUUUGAAGAUGCAGCCUGCGUCACCCAAUGUUCCAGAGCAUGAAAUACUUAGAGCCUCCAAUCCUCAGGUGAACCCAGGGUUUGUACUACAGGAAUCACAUCCCGAGCUGCUUGAGCAGAAUAAAAAGACGGCAUACAUGAAAAGAGAGUUGGACGUAAAGGCUGACAUGCGACCUCUGCAGAAGCCCGUAAAGAUGGGUUAUGGUGCUGAUGGAAGUGUGCCUACAGCGAGGCACAAUGUCAUUCCUACUGUUUCAAAUGAGAUGAAGUCUCAUGUCAAGCAAGAAAUCUUGCCGGUUGACAAAGGGACAAGUGAAAAUGUUCAUGAGGUUAAGAAUGAAACAAAUGAUUCAACAGAGGCCACAGCAUUGAAAUCAGGAAAACCAAAAAUAAAAGGUGUUUCAUUGACUGAGUUGUUCACUCCAGAACAAAUCAAUGCACAUAUAGAGAGUCUAAGGCUGUGGGUGGGCCAGAGCAAGGCUAAAGCUGAAAAGAAUCAACUGCUGGUGUCUUCCGAAAAUGAAAAUUCAUGCCAGCUCUGCAAAGUGGAAAAACUCACUUUUGAACCUCCACCCAUAUAUUGCUCCCCUUGUGGUGCUCGGAUAAAGCGAAAUGCACCAUACUAUACUGUUGGUUCUGGUGACACCCGCCACUUUUUCUGUAUUCCAUGUUACAAUGAGUCCCGUGGUGACACCAUUGAGGUUGAAGGACAGAAUUUUUUGAAGGCCCGGUUUGAGAAGAAAAGAAAUGAUGAGGAAACUGAAGAAUGGUGGGUUCAGUGUGACAAAUGUGAAUGCUGGCAGCAUCAGAUAUGUGCUCUGUUUAAUGGCAGAAGAAAUGAUGGAGGACAAGCAGAGUAUACUUGCCCGAAUUGCUAUAGUAAUGAAGUGAAGUGUGGGCUGCGCAUGCCUCUACCACAGAGUGCUGUUCUUGGAGCAAGUGAUCUGCCAAGAACUGUUCUUAGCGAUCAUAUAGAAGAGCGGCUUUUUAAACGGCUUAAGUGGGAGAGACAGAAUCGGGCGAAUAAUUUAAAUUGUAGUGUUGAUGAGGUCGCCGGAGCAGAAGGUCUUGUGGUCAGAGUUGUUUCAUCGGUGGAUAAGAAGGUUGAAGUUAAACCACGCUUUUUGGAAAUUUUUCAAGAAGAUAAUUACCCGACAGAGUUCCCUUACAAGUCCAAGGCUGUUCUUUUGUUCCAGAAAAUAGAAGGCGUAGAAGUGUGCUUAUUUGGAAUGUAUGUUCAAGAAUUUGGUGCUGACUGCGCUUACCCGAACCAACGUCGAGUUUAUUUGUCAUACCUGGAUUCUGUGAAAUACUUCAGACCUGAGAUUAAAGCAGCCACUGGAGAGGCCUUGCGUACAUUCGUCUACCAUGAAAUUCUGAUAGGAUAUCUUGAAUACUGCAAGCAGCGUGGAUUCACAAGCUGUUAUAUAUGGGCUUGCCCACCUUUGAAAGGUGAAGAUUACAUUUUAUAUUGCCACCCUGAGAUUCAGAAGACUCCAAAAUCUGACAAACUGCGGGAGUGGUACUUAGCCAUGCUUCGGAAAGCUACUAAGGAGGAGAUUGUUGUUGAGCUUACAAAUCUGUAUGACCAUUUCUUCAUUACCAUGGGAGAGUGCAAGGCUAAAGUUACCGCUUCCCGUUUGCCUUACUUCGAUGGAGAUUAUUGGCCUGGAGCUGCGGAAGAUAUGAUUAAUCAACUGCGUCAAGAAGAAGAUGACCGAAAGCUUCAGAAGAAGAGUAAGACAAAGAAAAUUAUUACAAAAAGAGCUCUUAAAGCUGCUGGCCACACUGAUCUCAGUGGAAAUGCUUCUAAGGACGCUAUGCUGAUGCAGAAGCUUGGGGAAACCAUUUAUCCAAUGAAGGAAGAUUUUAUUAUGGUCCAUUUGCAGUAUUCUUGUAGCCACUGUUGUCUCCUUAUGUCGUCUGGAAAACGCUGGGUCUGCCAUCAAUGCAGAAGUUUUUACAUCUGUGACAAGUGUUACAGUGCAGAACAACAGCUUGAAGAUAGGGAGAGGCAUCCAAGUAAUAGUAGAGACACACAUAAGCUCCAUCCAGUUGACAUUGUUGGGGUGCCUGAAGAGACAAAGGAUAGAGACGAUAUUCUGGAAAGUGAGUUUUUUGACACCAGGCAGGCAUUUCUCAGUCUUUGUCAAGGGAACCAUUACCAAUAUGACACCCUUCGCCGUGCUAAGCAUUCGUCAAUGAUGGUGUUGUAUCACCUACAUAAUCCCACUGCACCAGCGUUUGUCACUACAUGCAAUGUCUGUAGCCAUGAUAUUGAAACUGGUCAAGGCUGGCGGUGUGAAAUUUGUCCAGAUUUUGACGUGUGCAAUGGUUGUUACCAAAAAGGAGCAGUCAAUCAUCCUCACAAGUUGACAAACCAUCCAUCAGUUGCCGACCGUGAUGCCCAAAACAAGGAAGCCCGGCAAAUGCGUGUUCAACAGCUAAGGAAAAUGCUCGAUCUUCUGGUACAUGCCUCUACAUGCCGCUCUGGCAGCUGCCAAUAUCCUAACUGCCGUAAAGUCAAGGGACUAUUUCGGCAUGGGAUGCAGUGCAAGACACGUGCUUCAGGAGGGUGUGCCCUGUGCAAGAAAAUGUGGUACAUGCUUCAGCUCCAUGCCCGAGCUUGCAGAGAUUCAGGAUGCAGUGUACCGCGGUGCAGGGAUCUCAAAGAGCAUCUUAGAAGGCUGCAACAGCAGUCUGAUUCCCGGAGGAGGGCUGCUGUUAAUGAGAUGAUGAGACAGAGAGCAGCAGAGGUUGCUACAACAUGA
rnacentral:rRNA from 1 species